AACCCCCAGGCUAGGCAUCGGGGGGUUUCCGGGAAAAGGCCUUUUCAGCUUUAAACUGCCAGUUAAUUAAAACCCCCUUUUGAUUUGUUAAAACAUCAUUGCGGUCUGGCAACUGCAAAAGUUCAACAAGAAAUCAAAAA
rnacentral:sRNA from 1 species